rnacentral:rRNA from 1 species
GACGAACGCUGGCGGCGUGCCUAAUACAUGCAAGUCGAGCGAAGUUUUUCUGGUGCUUGCACUAGAAAAACUUAGCGGCGAACGGGUGAGUAACACGUAAAGAACCUGCCUCAUAGACUGGGACAACUAUUGGAAACGAUAGCUAAUACCGGAUAACAGUAUUUCUCGCAUGAGAGAUAUUUAAAAGUUUGUUAUGCUAACACUAUGAGAUGGCUUUGCGGUGCAUUAGCUAGUUGGUGGGGUAAAGGCCCACCAAGGCGACGAUGCAUAGCCGACCUGAGAGGGUGAUCGGCCACACUGGAACUGAGACACGGCCCAGACUCCUACGGGAGGCAGCAGUAGGGAAUCUUCCGCAAUGGGCGAAAGCCUGACGGAGCAACGCCGCGUGAGUGAAGAAGGAUUUCGGUUCGUAAAGCUCUGUUGUUAGGGAAGAAUAGAUAUGUAGUAACUAUACAUGUAAGAGACGGUACCUAACCAGAAAGCCACGGCUAACUACGUG